UGUUUAUUGAAUAUAAAGAAAAGACGAACAGCUCAGUAACUCUUAUUUUAUUUGAUGUAUUAGGAUUAUAACUAUGUUAAAUUAUAGAUAACAAUAAUACAAUAAGAAUAAGAUCUAUCAGUUAGUUGUUAAGGUAAUGGCUUAACAAGACUAUGACGGAUAACGGUAUUACUUUGUAAUAUUCCGGAGAAGGAGCCUGAGAGAUUGCUACUAAGUCUAAGGAUUGCAGCAGGGGCGAAACUUGACCUAUGAUAUGAUAUUGAGGCAGUUAUGAGUAGUAUUUUUAAUUAUUGUAGUAUUGUAAGUAUAUACUACAAGAUAAAUCGGAGGGCAAAUCGAGUGCCAGCAGCCGCGG
rnacentral:rRNA from 1 species